CAGCUAAGGCCCCUAAAUGACUGCUCAGUGAUAAAGGAGGUACGGGUGCAGAGACAAUCAGGAGAUUUUUCUAGAAGCAGCCACCCUUGAAAGAGUGCGUAAUAGCUCACUGAUCGAGCGCUCUUGCGCCGAAGAUGAACGGGGCUAAGCGAUCUGCCGAAGCUG
rnacentral:ncRNA from 1 species